ACACACACACACACACACACACCUGGGAUUAGUAUAGGAAAGUUGUGCAGUGAGAGACAGACAAUUUUCUCGGUUUAUGGGCUCUGAAAUAAGAUUUUAGAAGAAAAUUCAAGUUCUGAGGAAAUAGAAAACGGCUUCUUUUUUUAAAAAAAAAUCAGAAACGUGUUCUUCAUUCAUGUGACAAUAAACACACACACACACAAAACUGUCUCUCUUUUUGUCUGUCUCUCUCUUCCCAUCUGUCUAUCUCUCUUUGUAUCUCUUCCCAUCUGUCUCUCUUUCCAUCUGUCUCUCUUUAAAUCUCUUCCCCUCUGUCUCUCUCUCUUUGUCUCUUCCCAUCUGUCUCUCUCUUUUCAUCUGUCUCUCUCUCUCUUUGUAUCUCUUCCCAUCUGUCUCUCUCUUUCCAUCUGUCUCUCUCUCUCUUUGUAUCUCUUCCCAUCUGUCUCUCUUUCAAUCUCUUCCCCUCUGUCUAUCUCUCUUUGUAUAGCUUCCCAUUUGUCUCUCUCUCUUUGUAUAUCUUCCCAUCUGUCACUCUUCCUAUCUGUCUCUCUCUCUCUCUCUGUCUCUUCCCAUCUGUCUAUUUCUUUCCAUCUGUCUCUCUCUCUUUGCAUCUCUUCCCAUCUCUCUCUCUCUUUGCAUCUUUUCCAUCAGUCUGUCUCUCUUCCUGUCUGCCUGUCUCCUCCCAUCGGUCUGUCUCUCUCCCUGUCUGUCUCCCUUCCAUCUGCAUCUCUCUUAUUCUUUCUUCAUCUGCACUCCGUGUUUCCACCGAAUCAGACCUCCGAUCAGCUGAAUGGUGGAACGAGGGAUGUUUUAAUUCCAGCGAAACCAAAUGGAGUGAAAAUAAAUAAGUGAAUGAAACACGUGGUGCUUCUCGGUUUCUCUCCACGGGUCUGAGGCCGGAGUUAAAGCGGCGCAGGGCUGUGAGGCAUCGUGACUCAUUCGUUAGUGCGUUACGAAUCCCCAGAGAGCUGUAAUGUGCUUUAAUGUGGCGUGAGCUGUUAAAUAAACAACACACGUGGCUUUUACAGACCUGCAGCGCAUGGUGUGAAACACAACACACUCACAACACCGAGAAAUACAUUCAAGCUGGGGCUUUAAUAAGAAUACAGCGUCGCUGGAGAUAACAUUUCAUCUGUAAACAUCUCACAAAGAUUUAACCCUCAGCUCCGGGUCUUCAGCGCUCGGCUCUCGGGAGGAGGUCCCUCACGCGUAUUCUACAUAUCAAAUUCUCCUACAUUAUAAAAAUGAAAAAUUGCAGAUUCUACAUUGCUUUUAUUAUUUUUCAAAUAUUUGAACUAAUAAAUUCCAAGUUGUAAUUUGUUAAAAUCUCACAUUCUGCUUUACAGAAUUACAGAUUGAAAAGAUGAAGUCCUUAACUGUAGGUCCAGAGAAGUUUUGUUCAUGGUAAUAGAACAGACAUUAUAACAUGAAAGGGAAACCUUUAAGACAUAUGCUAUCAUUUUGUUUUAUAUAAGACAAUGCUGGGGAGGAGACGGCAUCAGGAUGCACUAUGGGAAGAAGGCGAGUUGGUGGAUGCAGUGUAAUGCUCUGUGCAAUGUUCUGCUGGGAAACCUUGGGUCCUGCUUUCAUGUGGAUGUUACUUUGACACAUACCACCUACCUAAACAUUGUUCCAGACUGAGUACACCCCUUCAUGGUAACGGUGUUCCCUAAUAUCAGUGACCUCUUUCAGCAGGAUAAUGCCCCCUGACACACUGCAAACACUGUUCAGGAACGGUUUGAGGAACAUGAGAAAGAAUUCCCCAGAUCUCAGUCUGAUCAAGCGUCUGUGGGACGUUCUGGACAAACAAGUCAGAUCCACGGAGGUCCACCUCACAACUUACAGAACUUAAAGGAUCUGGUGCUAACGUCUAGGUGCCAGAUACCACAGCACACCUUCAGAGGUCUUGUGGAGUCCAUGCCUCUACACCUCAGAGCUGUUCUGGUGGCACAAGGAGAGGAGGACCUACACAAUAUUAGGCAGGUGGAUUUAAUGUUAUGGCUGAUCGGUGUAUAAUAUGGGUGUUGAAAGAAUAAAGCUGUGGAAUUAUAACGGCUGUUCAAUCUAAAGAAAGGGAACGGUGCUAAAAAAGGAAAAUGAGCAGAGCGAGGUUAAUCUCACUGUAAUGCAGGAUCACAUGCAGAGUUAUAAAAAAAACAAAACAAAACAAAACACCAAGCUUUGUCUCGGCUCACGGAAACCUGUUUAUGAAGGUCUCGGCACUGAAAAUCUCCGGAAUAAGAAGAGUCACAUGACUAACGGAACAUGACCCGUGUGCCACUCAGGUCAACAAGCAAGAAAAAACAAAAGGAAGCAGAAUCUCUAAAUCAAUUUUAAAUCAAUUCUAAAUGCACAGUGUGUAUAUACAGUUCAUGCAAAGGAACGCUGUAGAGCAAAGACGCCUCCAGAAAUAAUGAAAUGAAAUGUUUCUACGUUACAGAGGUACGAUAAAUAGGAGUCAACGGUACUAAAGUAAACAACCUGAAAAUUUGGUGUGACGACUCUUUGCUUUUUGAAAGCAACAUCUGUAUCCUCAGGUACAGUGUGUGCAGCUUAAUAAGGAAAUGAGCUGCACAUGUUACUGAGCAUCCUCAGACACGGUUCUUCUGGAGACCCUGACUGUCGCACUUGCUUUUUAUUCCUGCAGCGAAACCCAACACCUUCAUCGUGUUUCCAUUCACUGUGUUUACUCUUCACUGUGUUUACUCUUCACUGUGUUUACUCUUCACUGUGUUUACUCUUCACUGUGUUUACUCUUCACUGUGUUUACUCAGGGUUUACUUCACUGUGUUUACUCUUCACUGUGUUUACUCUUCACUGUGUU
ensembl:lncRNA